rnacentral:rRNA from 1 species
UGGGGAAUAUUGGGCAAUGGGCGCAAGCCUGACCCAGCAACGCCGCGUGAAGGAUGAAGGUUUUCGGAUUGUAAACUUCUUUGACUGAGGACGACAAUGACGGUACUCAGAAAACAAGCCACGGCUAACUACGUGCCAGCAGCCGCGGUAAUACGUAGGUGGCAAGCGUUGUCCGGAUUUACUGGGUGUAAAGGGCGUGUAGGCGGGAGAGCAAGUCAGAUGUGAAAUACCGUGGCUCAACCACGGAGCUGCAUUUGAAACUGUUCUUCUUGAGUGAUGGAGAGGUAAGCGGAAUUCCUAGUGUAGCGGUAAAAUGCGUAGAUAUUAGGAGGAACACCGGUGGCGAAGGCGGCUUACUGGACAUUAACUGACGCUGAGGCGCGAAAGCGUGGGGAGCAAACAGG